CGAGAAGCGAACCUGCGAAGGCAAGCGGAUCUCUUAAAGCCGUUCUCAGUUCGGACUGUAGGCUGCAACUCGCCUACACGAAGCUGGAAUCGCUAGUAAUCGCGGAUCAGCACGCCGCGGUGAAUACGUUCCCGGGCCUUGUACACACCGCCCGUCACACCAUGAGAGUCUGUAACACCCAAAGCCGGUGGGAUAACCUUUAUAGGAGUCAGCCGUCUAGGGUAGGACAGAUGAUUAGGGUGAAGUCGUAACAAGGUACC
rnacentral:rRNA from 1 species